AUUGAACGCUGGCGGCAUGCUUUACACAUGCAAGUCGAACGGUAACAGGCCGCAAGGUGCUGACGAGUGGCGAACGGGUGAGUAAUGCAUCGGAACGUGCCCAGUCGUGGGGGAUAACUACUCGAAAGAGUAGCUAAUACCGCAUACGAUCUAUGGAUGAAAGCGGGGGACCGUAAGGCCUCGCGCGAUUGGAGCGGCCGAUGUCAGAUUAGGUAGUUGGUGGGGUAAAGGCUCACCAAGCCAACGAUCUGUAGCUGGUCUGAGAGGACGACCAGCCACACUGGGACUGAGACACGGCCCAGACUCCUACGGGAGGCAGCAGUGGGGAAUUUUGGACAAUGGGCGCAAGCCUGAUCCAGCAAUGCCGCGUGCAGGAAGAAGGCCUUCGGGUUGUAAACUGCUUUUGUACGGAACGAAACGGCUCUGGUUAAUACCCGGGGAUAAUGACGGUACCGUAAGAAUAAGCACCGGCUAACUACGUG
rnacentral:rRNA from 1 species